AUGCAGUCGAACGAGAGAUCUGACCAGCUUGACUGGUUGGUGAGAGUGGCGAACGGGUGAGUAAUGCGUGACCAACCUGCCCCAUGCUCCAGAAUAGCUCUUGGAAACGGGUGGUAAUGCUGGAUGCUCCAACUUGACGCAUGUCUUGUUGGGAAAGUGUUUAGUGGCAUGGGAUGGGGUCGCGUCCUAUCAGCUUGUAGGCGGGGUAAUGGCCCACCUAGGCUUCGACGGGUAGCCGGCCUGAGAGGGCGGACGGCCACAUUGGGACUGAGAUACGGCCCAGACUCCUACGGGAGGCAGCAGUGGGGAAUAUUGCGCAAUGGGGGAAACCCUGACGCAGCGACGCCGCGUGCGGGAUGAAGGCCUUCGGGUUGUAAACCGCUUUUGAUUGGGAGCAAGCCUUUUGGGUGAGUGUACCUUUCGAAUAAGCGCCGGCUAACUACGUGCCAGCAGCCGCGGUAAUACGUAGGGCGCAAGCGUUAUCCGGAAUUAUUGGGCGUAAAGAGCUUGUAGGCGGUUCGUCGCGUCUGGUGUGAAAGCCCAUCGCUUAACGGUGGGUUUGCGCCGGGUACGGGCGGGCUAGAGUGCAGUAGGGGAGACUGGAAUUCUCGGUGUAACGGUGGAAUGUGUAGAUAUCGGGAAGAACACCAAUGGCGAAGGCAGGUCUCUGGGCUGUUACUGACGCUGAGAAGCGAAAGCGUGGGGAGCGAACAGGAUUAGUCC
rnacentral:rRNA from 1 species